rnacentral:rRNA from 1 species
GGAAGGGGGCACCUGAUCAUCAUGCCGCGUGAGUGAAGAAGGCCUUCGGGUUGUAAAGCUCUUUUGUCAGGGAAGAAACACCGGCUCUAACACAGUCCGGGAAUGACGGUACCUGAAGAAUAAGCACCGGCUAACUACGUGCCAGCAGCCGCGGUAAUACGUAGGGUGCGAGCGUUAAUCGGAAUUACUGGGCGUAAAGCGUGCGCAGGCGGUUAUACAAGACAGGCGUGAAAUCCCCGGGCUUAACCUGGGAAUGGCGCCUGUGACUGUAUGGCUAGAGUGUGUCAGAGGGGGGUAGAAUUCCACGUGUAGCAGUGAAAUGCGUAGAUAUGUGGAGGAAUACCAAUGGCGAAGGCAGCCCCCUGGGAUAACACUGACGCUCAUGCACGAAAGCGUGGGGAGCAAACAGGAUUAGAUACCCUGGUAGUCCACGCCCUAAACGAUGCUGACUAGUUGUUCGGGAAUUUAUUCCUGAGUAACGUAGCUAACGGU